AGCGAACGCUGGCGGCAGGCCUAACACAUGCAAGUCGAACGAACUCUUCGGAGUUAGUGGCGGACGGGUGAGUAACACGUGGGAACGUGCCUUUUGGUUCGGAAUAACUCAGGGAAACUUGUGCUAAUACCGAAUGUGCCCUUCGGGGGAAAGAUUUAUCGCCAUUAGAGCGGCCCGCGUCUGAUUAGCUAGUUGGUGGGGUAACGGCUCACCAAGGCGACGAUCAGUAGCUGGUCUGAGAGGAUGACCAGCCACACUGGGACUGAGACACGGCCCAGACUCCUACGGGAGGCAGCAGUGGGGAAUCUUGCGCAAUGGGCGAAAGCCUGACGCAGCCAUGCCGCGUGAAUGAUGAAGGUCUUAGGAUUGUAAAAUUCUUUCACCGGGGACGAUAAUGACGGUACCCGGAGAAGAAGCCCCGGCUAACUUCGUG
rnacentral:rRNA from 1 species